rnacentral:rRNA from 1 species
ACAGUAAGCAAAAUGGGCCCACCCAAAAACGUCAGGUCGAGGUGUAGCGUACGAAGUGGGAAGAAAUGGGCUACAUUUUCUAAAAUAGAAUAUUUACGGACAGCACCCUGAAAACGUGCUAGAAGGUGGAUUUAGUAGUAAAAAGUAAAUAGAGAGUCCUUUUGAAUUAGGCUCUGAGACGCGCACACACCGCCCGUCACUCUCCCCUAACACUAUCAAUUUAUAUAAAUAAUAAUU